rnacentral:rRNA from 1 species
GACGAACGCUGGCGGCGUGCUUAACACAUGCAAGUCGAACGGAAAGGCCCUGCUUUUGUGGGGUGCUCGAGUGGCGAACGGGUGAGUAACACGUGUGUAACCUGUCCUUGACUUUGGGAUAACUUCAGGAAAAUGGGGCUAAUAUCGGAUAGGAGCUUCUGAUGCAUGGUGGGGGUUGGAAAGUUUCGGCGGUUGGGGAUGGAAUAGAGGCUUAUCAGCUUGUUGGUGGGGUAGUGGCUUACCAAGGCUUUGACGGGUAGGCGGCCUGAGAGGGUGACCGGCCACAUUGGGACUGAGAUACGGCCCAGACUCCUACGGGAGGCAGCAGUGGGGAAUAUUGCACAAUGGGCGGAAGCCUGAUGCAGCAACGCCGCGUGCGGGAUGACGGCCUUCGGGUUGUAAACCGCUUUCGCCUGUGACGAAGCGUGAGUGACGGUAAUUGGUAAAGAAGCACCGGCUAACUACGUG